rnacentral:lncRNA from 1 species
UUAUGUAGUUUUUAGAGUUAUGUUCUUGAUGUGAGCCCUUUAUCAGAUGUAUGAUUUGAAAAUAUUUGCUUCCUGUUUGCACCUUGCCUUUUUAUUCUCCUGACGAUGUCUUUGAAGAGCAGAAGUGCUUAGUUUUAAGGAAACUCAUCUAUCUUUCUGUGUGGGUUGUGUUUUUGGUAUUGUAUCGAGGGAGUCUCUGUUUUACCCAGGGUCACAAAGAUUUUCUCCUCUGCUUUCUUCUAGAAGUUUCGUAGUCCUCAGCUUGACACCUAGGUCCAUGCCUUAACCAAUUCUGCCUACUAUCAUAAAGCCCCACAGACUGGGCAUUAUCAACAAUAGACUUGUAUUUCUCACAGUUCUGGAGGCUGCAAGUCUGAGGUCAGGGCACCAGCGUGAUCAGGAUUGGUGCCAUGUGAGGGACAGAUGAGCACAUGAGCCGCGAGGGCCGUGGAGCUGGCAGGCUGACCUGAGGCUGUGCAACAGGCUGUGGCCAUCUCCCCGUUAGGUGCUGUACAGGAAGACUGAGCACGCGCUGGACCUGCUGCUUCAGAGCUUCGUCUCAGAGAACAAGAGCAUGGAUGAGGCUUCCUUCCUCCUGGAGCACACAGAACCCUGGCUGAGGUCGGAAAAGAGCCGUGAACGCAGGUGGGUGGUGCAGUCCCUCCUCCAGCUCCUACAGUACGUGUGGGACUCCCUGAAGUUCACUGUGAGUACCCCGCACUGCACCCCCACAGGGAGAGCUGGGGAUACUGGCACUGCACUGCCAUCUGUGCUCGCUGCUUCUGGCUAUCAGCGCUCACCCACAUCUGCCAGGUGCUGGGCACUGUGUUGGUGGAUCAGAUGAAGGUCUCCCAGUCCUGAGGCAGAGGGAAUGCUUCAAGGAGGGUGGUCUGAGGCAAUCUCAGUGGGAGAAAGGGAGGGACCCUG